AGAGUUUGAUCAUGGCUCAGAUUGAACGCUGGCGGCAUGCCUUACACAUGCAAGUCGAACGGCAGCACGGGAGCAAUCCUGGUGGCGAGUGGCGAACGGGUGAGUAAUACAUCGGAACGUGUCCUGGAGUGGGGGGAUAGCCCGGCGAAAGCCGGAUUAAUACCGCAUACGAUCUCUGGAUGAAAGCGGGGGACCGAAAGGCCUCGCGCUCAAGGGGCGGCCGAUGGCAGAUUAGCUAGUUGGUGGGGUAAAGGCCUACCAAGGCGACGAUCUGUAGCUGGUCUGAGAGGACGACCAGCCACACUGGGACUGAGACACGGCCCAGACUCCUACGGGAGGCAGCAGUGGGGAAUUUUGGACAAUGGGGGCAACCCUGAUCCAGCAAUGCCGCGUGUGUGAAGAAGGCCUUCGGGUUGUAAAGCACUUUUGUCCGGAAAGAAAACCGCUUCUCUAAUACAGAGGUGGGAUGACGGUACCGGAAGAAUAAGCACCGGCUAACUACGUGCCAGCAGCCGCGGUAAUACGUAGGGUGCGAGCGUUAAUCGGAAUUACUGGGCGUAAAGCGUGCGCAGGCGGUUCGCUAAGACCGAUGUGAAAUCCCCGGGCUUAACCUGGGAACUGCAUUGGUGACUGGCGGGCUAGAGUAUGGCAGAGGGGGGUAGAAUUCCACGUGUAGCAGUGAAAUGCGUAGAGAUGUGGAGGAAUACCGAUGGCGAAGGCAGCCCCCUGGGCCAAUACUGACGCUCAUGCACGAAAGCGUGGGGACAAACAGGAUUAGAUACCCUAGUAGUCC
rnacentral:rRNA from 1 species